UGAAGGCUGAUAAAUCUCCAGGGCCUGAUGGUCUACAUCCCAAGGAUUUGGGUAUUGUAAGCCAAGUUUACAGCUGAGGAGGAGAGCCAGCAUCUGGCUGAUGGAGGGAAAAGACAAGGCCAGCAAUUGAUAUUUUAAAUGAAAAGGGGGAGGUACAGCUUGCAUUUCGAACCAAAAAUGCAACUGAAUCUUCCAGGAAUGAGAAACGUAUAAUAAACAAAUCUUCAGCAAAUUGUUCAAUCCCAAAUACCGGCUCUGCGAAUGAAGUCACCACA